GAUGAACGCUGGCGGCGUGCUUAACACAUGCAAGUCGAACGAUGAAGCCCAGCUUGCUGGGUGGAUUAGUGGCGAACGGGUGAGUAACACGUGAGUAACCUGCCCUUAACUCUGGGAUAAGCCUGGGAAACUGGGUCUAAUACCGGAUAGGAGCGCCUACCGCAGGGUGGGUGUUGGAAAGAUUCAUCGGUUUUGGAUGGACUCGCGGCCUAUCAGCUUGUUGGUGAGGUAAUGGCUCACCAAGGCGACGACGGGUAGCCGGCCUGAGAGGGUGACCGGCCACACUGGGACUGAGACACGGCCCAGACUCCUACGGGAGGCGGCAGUGGGGAAUAUUGCACAAUGGGCGAAAGCCUGAUGCAGCGACGCCGCGUGAGGGAUGACGGCCUUCGGGUUGUAAACCUCUUUCAGUAGGGAAGAAGCGAAAGUGACGGUACCUGCAGAAGAAGCACCGGCUAACUACGUG
rnacentral:rRNA from 1 species